rnacentral:rRNA from 1 species
UAGUCCACGCCGUAAACGAUGGACACUAGUUGUUGGGAUUUAUCUCAGUGACUAAGCGAAAGUGAUAAGUGUCCCACCUGGGGAGUACGAUCGCAAGAUUGAAACUCAAAGGAAUUGACGGGGGCCCGCACAAGCGGUGGAGCAUGUGGUUUAAUUCGAUGAUACGCGAGGAACCUUACCAGGGCUUAAAUGUAGAGUGACAGGCUGAGAGAUCGGUUUUUCUCGGACACUUUACAAGGUGCUGCAUGGUUGUCGUCAGCUCGUGCCGUGAGGUGUCAGGUUAAGUCCUAUAACGAGCGCAACCCCUAUCGUUAGUUGCUAGCAGGUAAAGCUGAGGACUCUAGCGAGACUGCCGGUGCAAACCGUGAGGAAGGUGGGGAUGACGUCAAAUCAUCACGGGCCCUUACGUCCUGGGGCUACACACGUGCUACAAUGGGUAUGGGACAAUGAGCAGCCACAACGCGAGUUGGGAGCGGAAUC